rnacentral:tRNA from 1 species
GGUGGCUCAGUGGUAGAGUGCUUGCCUAGCAUGCAUGAGGCCCUGGGUUCAAAUCCUCAGCACCA